GACGUAGGGCGCGAGCGUUGUCCGGAUUUAUUGGGCGUAAAGAGCUCGUAGGCGGCUUGUCGCGUCGUCCGUGAAAACCUGCAGCUCAACUGCAGGCUUGCGGUCGAUACGGGCAGGCUGGAGUUCGGUAGGGGAGACUGGAAUUCCUGGUGUAGCGGUGGAAAUGACGCAGAUAUCAGGAGGAACACCGGUGGCGAAGGCGGGUCUCUGGGGCCGAUACUGACGCUGAGGAGCGAAAGCGUGGGGAGCGAACAGG
rnacentral:rRNA from 1 species